rnacentral:rRNA from 1 species
AACGAACGCUGGCGGCAUGCCUAACACAUGCAAGUCGAACGAGACCUUCGGGUCUAGUGGCGCACGGGUGCGUAACGCGUGGGAACCUGCCCUUAGGUUCGGAAUAACUCCCCGAAAGGGGUGCUAAUACCGGAUAAUGUCUUCGGACCAAAGAUUUAUCGCCUUUGGAUGGGCCCGCGUUGGAUUAGCUAGUUGGUAGGGUAAAAGCCUACCAAGGAGACGAUCCAUAGCUGGUCUGAGAGGAGGAUCAGCCACACUGGGAAUGAGACACGGCCCAGACUCCGACGGGGGGCAGGAGUGGGGAGUAUUGGACGAGGGGGGAAAGCGUGAUCCAGCAAUGCCGGGUGAGUGAUGAAGGCCUUAGGGUUGUAAAGCUCUUUUACCCGGGAUGAUAAUGACAGUACCGGGAGAAUAAGCUCCGGCUAACUCCGUG